GUGCUAGCUUAGGCAUCACAUAAUGCUAAACUUGAAACAAUACAGAGAAUAUUAGCGUGGCCCCUGUGCAUGGAUGACAUGUAAAUUCGUUUUCCAUAUUUUA
rnacentral:snRNA from 1 species